UGAGGAAUUUUCCGCAAUGGGCGAAAGCCUGACGGAGCGACGCCGUGUGGGUGAUGAAGGCCUUCGGGUCUUAAAGCCCUGUCAGCAAAGACGAUAUUGACGGUAUUUGCAGAGGAAGCCCCGGCUAACUACGUGCCAGCAGCCGCGGUAAUACGUAGGGGGCGAACGUUGUCCGGAAUCAUUGGGCGUAAAGCGCAUGUAGGCGGUCUUAUAAGUCGGAUGUUUAAUCCCCGGGCUCAACCCGGGUUCGCGUUCGAUACUGUAGGGCUAGAGAAAUGUAGAGGAAAGCGGAACUUCCGGUGUAGCGGUGAAAUGCGUAGAUAUCGGAAGGAACACCAGUGGCGAAGGCGGCUUUCUGGCCAUUUUCUGACGCUGAGAUGCGAAAGCUAAGGGAGCAAACGGG
rnacentral:rRNA from 1 species